AAGUCGUAACAAGGUUUCCGUAGGUGAACCUGCGGAAGGAUCAUUAUUGAAUAAACUUGAGCGCUGUGCUGGCCUUUCGGGGCAUGUGCACGCGUUCUAUGUUCAUUUAUCUUUUGUGCAUUAGUGUAGCAAAGUAAACUGAGACGUAGACAUUUGUUUGCGGCCGGCGAAACGCUAUUUUAUAAAUCUUAAUAAAAAUCUUAGAAUGUUAUCUUUUACUUGACGCAAGUCUUGUAGAAAACCUAUACAACUUUCAGCAACGGAUCUCUUGGCUCUC
rnacentral:misc_RNA from 1 species